GACGAGCCACACAAACGUUAUUCGGAAUUACUGGGCUUAAAGGGUGCGUAGGCGGCGCGGAAAGUUGGGUGUGAAAGCCCUCGGCUCAACCGAGGAAUUGCGCCCAAAACUACCGUGCUUGAGGAAGAUAGAGGUGAGCGGAACUCAGGGUGGAGCGGUGAAAUGCGUUGAUAUCCUGAGGAACACCGGUGGCGAAAGCGGCUCACUGGAUCUUUUCUGACGCUGAGGCACGAAAGCUAGGGUAGCGAACGGG
rnacentral:rRNA from 2 species